GAGUUUGAUCCUGGCUCAGAAUCAACGCUGGCGGCGUGCCUAACACAUGCAAGUCGAACGAGAAAGGGUAGCAAUACCUGAGUAAAGUGGCGCACGGGUGAGUAACACGUGACUAACCUACCCUGGAGUGGGGGAUAACUGAGGGAAACCUUAGCUAAUACCGCAUAACACCUACGGGUCAAAGGAGCAAUUCGCUUCAGGAGGGGGUCGCGGCCGAUUAGUUAGUUGGCGGGGUAAUGGCCCACCAAGACAGUGAUCGGUAUCCGGCCUGAGAGGGCGCACGGACACACUGGAACUGAAACACGGUCCAGACUCCUACGGGAGGCAGCAGUGGGGAAUUUUGCGCAAUGGGGGAAACCCUGACGCAGCAACGCCGCGUGGAGGAUGAAGUACUUCGGUACGUAAACUCCUUUCGAUCGGGACGAUUAUGACGGUACCGGAAGAAGAAGCCCCGGCUAACUUCGUGCCAGCAGCCGCGGUAAU
rnacentral:rRNA from 1 species